rnacentral:tRNA from 2 species
CGGGGCGUAGCGCAGCCUGGUAGCGCAUCUGCUUUGGGAGCAGAGGGUCGCUGGUUCGAAUCCAGUCGCCCCGACCA